CUCUCUCAAACCUUUGGGUUUGGUAUUGAGUGAUACUCUUAGUUGAACUAGGCGUUUGCUUGAAAUAUAUUGGCACGAGUAGUGUUGAACAGUGUUGUCUGAACAUCAAUGUAUUAGGUUUAUCCAACUCGUUGAAACGUUUAGGUGGUACCAUUCUUCAUUAGGCUUUGCCUUAUAAAACACAAACAA
rnacentral:misc_RNA from 1 species